GUAUACCCUAAAAAUAAAAAAUCCCGAAUUUUGGAGGUCCAUAUCUCGGCUUCUAUGGGCACUAUCGGGAUAAUUCCAACGGUUUUGACUUAGUUUCGUCCUUCUGAAUCCAACGAGACCAUCCGCAAGGUCGUAGCUCCCAUAUUAGCUGAGAUCUCGCAUUUUUGUGGCCUAUUUUUGGGCUCAAAAACGGGGUCGAAAAUUGACUUUUUUCCGAAUUUUCAAAGUGCUAUAAUUCCACUAGUUCUAGUCGAAUUCAGUUAUAAUCCAGUGUUUUCGUAAUGUAGGUGAUGGGAAUAAGCCGCUGAUAGGGAUUUCUAUAGCGAUUUUCGAGUUUAAAGAAAAUCGAUUUUUCGCAUUUUCAAAGUGCCAUAACUCCCUUAGUUUUUCUCGAAACUCAUUAUAACCCGGUGUUUUCGUGUUGUAGGUGAUGGGAUCAAGCCGCUGGUAUAGUUAGUUAAAAUUCGAAAAAAAUCAAUUUUUGGUGAAAAAUUCGAUACGGGGGGGUAUACCCUAAAAAUGAAAAAUCCCGAACUUUGGAGGUCCAUAUCUCGGCUUCUAUGGGCACUAUCGGGAUAAUUCCAACGGUUUUGACUUAGUUUCGUCCUUCUGAAUCCAACGAGACCAUCCGCAAGGUCGUAGCUCCCAUAUUAGCUGAGAUCUCGCAUUUUUGUGGCCCAUUUUUGGGCUCAAAAACGGGGUCGAAAAUUGACUUUUUUCCGAAUUUUCAAAGUGCUAUAAUUCCACUAGUUCUAGUCGAAUUCAGUUAUAAUCCGGUGUUUUCGUAAUGUAGGUGAUGGGAAUAAGCCGCUGAUAGGGAUUUCGAUAGCGAUUUUCGAGUUUAAAGAAAAUCGAUUUUUCGCAUUUUCAAAGUGCCAUAACUCCCUUAGUUUUUCUCGAAACUCAUUAUAACCCGGUGUUUUCGUGUUGUAGGUGAUGGGAUCAAGCCGCUGGUAGAGUUAUUUCAAAUUCGAAAAAAAUCAAUUUUUGGUGAAAAAUUCGAUACGGGGGGGUAUACCCUAAAAAUGAAAAAUCCCGAACUUUGGAGGUCCAUAUCUCGGCUUCUAUGGGCACUAUCGGGAUAAUUCCAACGGUUUUGACUUAGUUUCGUCCUUCUGAAUCCAACGAGACCACCCGCAAGGUCGUAGCUCCCAUAUUAGCUGAGAUCUUGCAUUUUUGUAGCCCAUUUUUGGGCUCAAAAACGGGGUCGAAAAUU